GAAUUUGAAAUACUUCAUACAUCAUACUAUAGAAAAUUUAAACACUGUAUAGGAAAUUUGAUCACAAAGGUUAUACAUUAUAUAUCACGCUCUAGAAAAUUCAAGCACUGCAUCGGAGAUCUGAUCACAGAGCUUAUUGGGGUGUCCCUCGAUCAUUUACAGACUCAAAGGUAAAGAGGAAAUUGUCCAUUUUCUGAAGCAGCAAGAUAUAAAUGAAGUUCUGGUAUUAGUAAUAUCAACUAAGUAGAACCUCAUUGCUAGUAAUGCGUAAAAUAUUAGAAAGCAAAAUCUUUCAGAAAAAUACUGCCAAGGAAAAACUCAACAGAUCUAAAAUCAUUCAUAUAUAUUCCUCACUCAAACAUGUAUCUUGAUUGGCAUAAAGAAUGUAAACCGUUCAUAUAUAUUGAACACUAAAUCAAGUUUGCCAUGAAUCAAAAGCUCAAACUGUGUUCACACCAAAUAAGCUUACCUUACACAUGAACCAGAACCCUCCUCAUUGGUCAUGGACAUCUUGUCAAGCUGAUCCCAAACAUACUCAAACAGUUGUCGUUAAGACAUAAAUAUUAAAUACAAAUGAACUAGAACAGAGGAUAAAUUACAGUCUGUUUUCAUUUGUGUACCAGUUGAAUGUGAAUAGUUAUUCAGAUAUGCUAGUUACCAGCAACUAUAUAUUCAAUUUCACACAUGACAUAUGGAUAAAAUAAAAUUAAGUGCUAAAAUUAGAGUGCGCCACAAUUAUAUACAAUUAUAUCUGAUAGUAUUAUGUGUUUUCUGAUAUCACAAUACUAACAGAAGAUGAAUCUAUUGGGAAUAGACAAGCAUUAUACAUGUCUAGGCAUGAUGCUACCCAAGUUAUUGUCAAUUAGUUCAAUCCACAGGUUCAGUUUUCAUUAUGGCAAGAAAUUGUUUUAAAGUGUAGUAUACUCCAUAAAAUUAUUAAAGCACAAUCAUCCAAUGGAACCCAUUGGUAAAACAACAUACACAAAUGGUACUUGUCCGAGGUGUAUCACUUGCAUAUAUUCCACGAAGAAAGCAAACAAAGAAAAGAGAGAUUAUCUAGAACAUAUAUGGGCUUGUUUUCAAAGUUUAGUAAUGCACUACAUUCUAUCAGCAAUGUACUUGAAAGAAAAUUAAAAGUCUAAGCUUUUGUAUAUUAGUCUAAAGUCUACAAGGUAAACAAUAUGAAAUUACCUGCUGUAUCUUUGAGCAAACUGAGAAUAUUAGGCAGCCUAAAACCCCAAAAAUUCAAUCCUGAUUUACUUUAACAAGAAAAGAGGAUAGCUAAAAAAAAUUAUAGUAGCAAAAGAGUAGAAAACUAAGUAGGGUUACCUCCUUACUCUGGUCCUAUUGGCUCCUUGUAGCCAUUGUUGCAGUAGAUAGAUAAUAAGGACUCUCUUUUCAUGUCAAUUUAUGCUGAUAAACGUUUCAAUCAAUUUUUCAAAAGCCAAAAGACAUAGAUAUAUCAGGUUUACAUUAAUCCUCUUAGAAGAGUUGUUCAAUGAUAAAAGUAAACUAAAAAUACGAGAGCCAAUAACUUAACAUUAAUCAAAUAGACAGUUCAAUUCAGAAACCAAUAUAUUUUCAGUACACCAACAUAACAGCCAGUACAAUAACCAACAUGGGCGAUUAGGCAUUAUCAUGGAUGUUGUAAAAUUCAAUAGUGCUAGACUUACUGGCCACAAUACGACCUAUUAUACUUUCUCAGAUAUAAAUUCAAUUACAUUGUGGGUAGUAACAAAAUAAUUAGCUACGAGAUCUAAUUUUUGUCCCAAAUUUCAUUGAUAUGUCCUUCCACAAUUCAAGGCUCACCAGAACCCAAAUCAUCUUUUGAAAUGCAAUAUGAGAUAAUACCCAACAAGUAAGAAUACCAAUCUUCCCAAUUUCAAGACCGAGCAAAAAUCUGAAACCCUAAAUCUAUUUAAAAAAAAAAAAAAACUAAUCCGAAACCCUGAGGCAAAGUAAAACAAGUCAAGAAACCUUUAUUCAAACAGACCCAAUCAUACGAAAUAUUUAAUC
rnacentral:lncRNA from 1 species